GACGAACGCUGGCGGCGUGCUUAACACAUGCCAGUCGAACGGAAAGGCCCUGCUUGCAGGGUACUCGAGUGGCGAACGGGUGAGUAACACGUGGGUGAUCUGCCCUGCACUUCGGGAUAAGCCUGGGAAACUGGGUCUAAUACCGGAUAGGAGCCAUUUUUAGUGUGAUGGUUGGAAAGUUUUUUCGGUGUAGGAUGAGCUCGCGGCCUAUCAGCUUGUUGGUGGGGUAAUGGUCUACCAAGGCGGCGACGGGUAGCCGGCCUGAGAGGGUGGACGGCCACAUUGGGACUGAGAUACGGCCGAGACGCCUACGGGUGGCAGCAGUGGGGAAGAUUGAACAAGCGGCGCAGGCCUGAUGCAGCGACGCCGCGUGGGGGAUGACGGCCUUCGGGUUGUAAACACCUUUCGCUAGGGACGAAGCGUUUUGUGACGGUACCUAGAGAAGAAGCACCGGCUAACUACGUG
rnacentral:rRNA from 1 species